AGCAGCAGGGGAGAGAGAGGAGUCCUCUAGACACCGACUCUGUCUCCUGCAGAU
ensembl:miRNA MIR6510 microRNA 6510